rnacentral:rRNA from 1 species
AUUGAACGCUGGCGGCAUGCCUUACACAUGCAAGUCGAACGGCAGCACGGGAGCAAUCCUGGUGGCGAGUGGCGAACGGGUGAGUAAUAUAUCGGAACGUGCCCAGUCGUGGGGAUAACGUAGCGAAAGCUACGCUAAUACCGCAUACUAUCUAUGGAUGAAAGCGGGGGAUCGCAAGACCUCGCGCGAUUGGAGCGGCCGAUAUCAGAUUAGGUAGUUGGUGAGGUAAAGGCUCACCAAGCCGACGAUCUGUAGCUGGUCUGAGAGGACGACCAGCCACACUGGGACUGAGACACGGUCCAGACUCCUACGGGAGGCAGCAGUGGGGAAUUUUGGACAAUGGACGCAAGUCUGAUCCAGCCAUUCCGCGUGCAGGAUGAAGGCCCUCGGGUUGUAAACUGCUUUGUACGGAACGAAAGGUUUCUAUUAAUACUAGGAGCUCA